UAGGUAUAGGAGAUAGUGACUUGGAGAUGAUCCAAGAGGAAAGUCCGAGCUGCCGUAAGACAAUGUUCCAUUUAACGAAUGGCCGUAGUAAUACGAGGGAAAGUGCAACAGAGACUAGACUUCUGCAGCAAUGCAGUAAAGGUGAAAAGGUGGAGUAAGAGACCACCAGUCUUUAUGGCAACAUAGAGAGCUUGUAAACCCAACAUGGCAGCAAGAAACAGAUGGUUAGCGUCUUACAGUGCUAUUGUUUCGCUAGAGGCAUGUUGCAAAACAUGCAGUAGAUUAAUGCUAUCACUACAAAACUCGGCUUAUCCUAUACCUGUAAA
rnacentral:RNase_P_RNA from 1 species